UGAAAAGUUAUGAUGGGAAGAGUAGGCUGUCUACCGGCUGUCAGAGAGGAAAUCCCAGGCUGUGAGAUUUCUCAGGCGGUGUAGCUCAAGGUCAUCCCGGAACUGUUGCGCUGAAAAUAGUAGUAGGUGCAAUCGUUGGCCGCGUUAAGGCCGUAUUGAGUCCGCCGGAUAGUUUUAUUUGGCUGGAAAGCAAGGUGGUACCACGAAAGCUUGGCUCUUUCGUCCUUACA
rnacentral:ncRNA from 1 species